UGGGGAAUUUUGCACAAUGGGGGAAACCCUGAUGCAGCGACGCCGCGUGAUUUAGAAGGCCUUCGGGUUGUAAAAAUCUUUUUUACGGGAUGAAAAUGACAGUACCGUAAGAAUAAGGUCCGGAUAAAUACGUGCCAGCAGCCGCGGUAAUACGUAGGGGGCUAGCGUUGUCCGGAAUCACUGGGCGUAAAGGGUUCGCAGGCGGAAAUGCAAGUCAGGUGUAAAAGGCAGUAGCUUAACUACUGUAAGCAUUUGAAACUGCAUAUCUUGAGAAGAGUAGAGGUAAGUGGAAUUUUUAGUGUAGCGGUGAAAUGCGUAGAUAUUAAAAAGAAUACCGGUGGCGAAGGCGACUUACUGGGCUCAUUCUGACGCUGAGGAACGAAAGCGUGGGUAGCAAACAGG
rnacentral:rRNA from 1 species